AGAGUUUGAUCCUGGCUCAGGAUGAACGCUAGCGAUAGGCUUAACACAUGCAAGUCGAGGGGCAGCAUGGUCUUAGCUUGCUAAGACUGAUGGCGACCGGCGCACGGGUGCGUAACGCGUAUGCAACUUGCCUCACAGAGGGGGAUAACCCGUCGAAAGACGGACUAAUACCGCGUACACUCCAUCUUGGGCAUCCAAGGUAGAGGAAAUGAAAUUCGCUGUGAGAUAGGCAUGCGUCCCAUUAGCUAGUUGGUGAGGUAACGGCUCACCAAGGCGACGAUGGGUAGGGGAACUGAGAGGUUGAACCCCCACACUGGUACUGAGACACGGACCAGACUCCUACGGGAGGCAGCAGUGAGGAAUAUUGGUCAAUGGGCGAGAGCCUGAACCAGCCAAGUCGCGUGAAGGAUGACUGUCUUAUGGAUUGUAAACUUCUUUUAUACGGGAAUAACAAGAGUCACGUGUGGCUCCCUGCAUGUACCGUAUGAAUAAGCAUCGGCUAACUCCGUGCCAGCAGCCGCGGUAAUACGGAGGAUGCGAGCGUUAUCCGGAUUUAUUGGGUUUAAAGGGUGCGUAGGCGGCCUGUUAAGUCAGCGGUGAAAUCUAGGAGCUUAACUCCUAAAUUGCCAUUGAUACUGGCGGGCUUGAGUGUAGAUGAGGUAGGCGGAAUGCGUGGUGUAGCGGUGGAAUGCAUAGAUAUCACGCAGAACUCCGAUUGCGAAGGCAGCUUACUAAGGUACAACUGACGCUGAAGCACGAAAGCGUGGGUAUCAAACAGGAUUAGAUACCCUGGUAGUCCACGCAGUAAACGAUGAUAACUGGGCGUAUGCGAUAUACAGUAUGCUCCUAAGCGAAAGCGUUAAGUUAUCCACCUGGGGAGUACGCCGGCAACGGUGAAACUCAAAGGAAUUGACGGGGGCCC
rnacentral:rRNA from 1 species